ensembl:lncRNA
CAGAUCAGGAUGAUUCUGCAGGGCCAUUGUGGUCCAGAGCUCCUGUAGAACUGACUGAGCCCUCUGUUGAGACUGCAUUGACGUUCAACUUCUCCCUUCAGACAACCCAACUUCCUUUAGUCUGUCUCAAGUCCUGAUCUUAAGGAGACCCCCAUUAAACUUCCUGCACAUGGAUUUUCAUGUCUCCAGAGUCUGCUUACUGAAGAAUGCAACCUAAAACAGAAAGAACAGGUAUCAUUUCAGGGAAUUGACUUAAUCUCUUGGAGCCUAUUUUCUCAUGUCUGAAGAGUGACUUUAUUCUGAUUUUAAACAGCCCUACCACAGCAUUGGACACAAUACAGGAGACCGUGGGGCACGGAGGCCCAGGACUGGUUCAAUCAAUGGAAGCUCUAGUCUAAGCCCUCGCAGAUGUGCUGCUUAUUAAUUAUGUUGAUACACUAGGUCUAGAUUUGUGUUGAAGUUUCCUCUUAAAGAAGCCACAUGGAUUCCAAGUUACUCAGUUUCCUGGAGUGAGAUUGCAUGGCAGCCUGGGAUUUGCAAAUCUUCACCUGACAAUGAUGUUUAUGUAACAUUCCUGACCCCUGUGUCUGAGCAGCUUCCAAAGCCCAGAGACUCACUCUUAGUUCAGUCCCAGCACCGGUGCUGCCUGCCCUGCUAACAGCCUCCCUGAGCCUAGCCUUCUCUUUCUAUGAUCUGAUUUAAUUGUUAUGGCACUUUAUUAUUAUAAACCACCAUUUUAGAAAGUGUUGGGCUCAGUGGACAUGAGUUUGAGCAAGCUCUGGGAGUUGGUGAUGGACAGAGACCCCUAGUCCAUGGGGUCACAAGGUCGGACAUGACUGAGCGCCUGAACUGAACUGGACUAAGUGUAAUUUGAUCUCCAAGAUUCUGAACUCUUAGAAAAACCUCCGAUGCUGAAUUUCUCCUAAAACUUGUGUGUGUGCCCAGUCACUCAGUUGCGUCUGGUUCUCUGUGACCCCAUGGACUGAAACCCUCCAGGCUCCUCUGUCCAUGGAAUUCCCCAGGCAAGAAUACUGGAGUGGGUUGCCAUUUCCCUCUCCAUUUCUUUAACUUAACUUGCAUUAAAUAGGAUCUUCAUUUUGAUGGCCUUAAAUUCUCAGUGUCUCCCCCAAAACCUCCAUCCAUCACUGACUUUUUCCAUUUAUAGCAUUUUCAGCUCAGCCUCUAUCUUCAGCUCUCAUACUGUGAGUUGACCCUAAAUACUAGCUCCCCGGUAUCUAGUACUUAAGUAUGUACCAGGCAUCACAUGCUUUUCAGCAGGAGUUUGCAAAGGGUGGUUCUGCAGACCAGGAGCAACAGCAUCACUGCUAAACUUGUUACUAGGAAUACAAAUUCCCCAAACCCACCGAAGAUCUAACAAGUCAACAGCUCUGGGGGUGGGGAUCAGUAACCUAUGUUUUGAAAAAUACUCAGGUGAUUUGAGGGUACUUGCUUUAGUCUGAAAACCACUGCUUUACCCGCAGUAGCUUAUUUUAUUACAAAAGCCCAAUGCUAAAGGGCGUUGUUUAGUUGCUAAGUCAUAUCUGCCUCUUUGCCAUCCCAUUGACUGUAGCCCACCAGGCUCCUCUGUCCAUGGGAUUCGCCAGGCAAGAAUAUUGGAGUGGGUCACCAUUUCCUUCUCCAGGGAGUCUUCUUGACUCAGGGAUUGAACUCAUGUUUCCUGCAUUGGCAGGUGGAUUACUUCCCACCUGGGAAGCCCAAGACGAGGGUUACAUAGCCUUAUUCUACUUUACCAUGAAAAAAAAAAUAAAGGUCAACAGAGAUAACUGUACACAGCCUCACACAGUGCAGGUGGCAUGCGGCAAAUGAAACCCAGGGCUGAAAGCUUUGCAAGUCCCUCCUCUCCAGUUCCACUCCACGAAACCCCCACUUGGCUGACCUCCCAUCAGUUCUACUCUGCUGGUGACUAACUCGGGUAAACCAUGCUGCAUGCUUUCUUUGGGUACUAAGGUCUUUGAAUACUGCUGGGAGAGCAACCAAUAAAAAUGCCAAGUGUAUUUCAUUAUAAUAAAUGUAUAUUUUUACCCCAGAGCCUAUAUGCCUGUGGUGGGAUCACUUCGUGGUUUUUCUUUACAUACCUAUGGACUUACUACAAUAUCCCUGCUCCAACUUGUUCCGACUGCUUUCUCCAAUGUCCUAGCUCGAAGCAUUAUUUCUGGCCGAUCACAAGGUCUCGGUAGAAGGCUCAUCUCUGUUUUCUUGGACACACAGGGGCAAGAUAAUGAGAGCCUUUCUCACUUCUUGCUGUGGCACUUUAAAAUCUUGAUACGUCUUGUUCCCACCUUUGUUCUUGUUUCUGAGGAAGAGGUGACCCUUUUCUCUGCUGAGAUCGAUUUCCUACACUCCUGGCUCACUAGCUGCUUCUCUUUCCAGCUAUUGCUCAAUCAGUUCUUCCUUUCUCUCCCCUGGAACUCCUCUCCCUCGCUUGUGGUCCCUUAACCCCAUCAACAGAGUUUGUUUGGACUUUCUUUUGCUACAAAGGAAUAGCCUUUCUCAAUUCUGUUAUGAGCCCUCUACCCCAAAUUUCUCUUUUUCAUCUUCACCUGAUAGAGUAUCCUUUAAAGAAACUGGACUAACAUCCUUCUUUAAUUCCUUUGCCACUCAGAUACCUUUCUAAUACAAAAAUCCUCUUGAGUGUAAUCAAUGAACUCUUUAAAAUCCCAUCCCUUCCUAAAACAAAAUCAAAAGCUUUCCCAAUGUGUAUUAAUAUUUCCCCUUUAAGCUAUCUAGGCCAUCUGUUACCUAUAUUCAUCUCUGUCACAAAGCGUUGCCCUGACUUGGUGUCUACAACACUUGAAUAGCAGAACCCACAUAGCCAUGUCUUCUCAUAUUUUAAAUUGUGAUUUGGUUGUACUCUUCUUUUUCCUACUGAAUUAUUAAUUUAUUCAUUCAAUAAACAUUUCUAGAGCCUGUUGUUGUUAUUCUCUAAGUCCGGCUCUUUGCCACCCCAUGGAUUGCAGCACACAAGGCUUCCCUGUCCUUCACCACUUCCUGGAGUUUGCUCAAGUUCAUGUCCAUUGAGUCGGUGAUGCUAUCUAACCAUCUCAUCCCCUGCUGCCCUCUUCUCCUUUCACCUUCAAUCUUUCCGAGCAUCAGGGUUUUUCUAAUGAGUCAGCUCUUCACAUCAAGUGGCCAAAGUAUUGGAGCUUCAGCUUUAGCAUCAGUCCUUCCAAUGAAUGUGCAGGCUUGAUGUUCUUUAGGAUUGACUGGUUGGAUCUCCUUGCAGUCCAAGGCUUACUGUGUACCAAACAGUUAGGUGUUGGAGCUGUAACUGAGAGUGAUAUGUAUUCUCCUGCCCUCUCAGACCCU